rnacentral:rRNA from 1 species
UACGUAGGGGGCAAGCGUUGUCCGGAUUUAUUGGGCGUAAAGAGCGUGUAGGCGGUUUGGUAGGUCCGCUGUGAAAACUCGAGGCUCAACCUCGAGACGCCGGUGGAAACCAUCAGACUAGAGUCCGGAAGAGGAGAGUGGAAUUCCUGGUGUAGCGGUGAAAUGCGCAGAUAUCAGGAAGAACACCCGUGGCUAAGGCGGCUCUCUGGUACGUGACUGACGCUGAGACGCGAAAGCGUGGGGAGCAAACAGG